CUUUCUUUGCUGGCGACCGGCGCACGGGUGAGUAACACGUAUCCAACCUGCCCUUUACUCGGGGAUAGCCUUUCGAAAGAAAGAUUAAUACCCGAUAGCAUAAUGAUUCCGCAUGGUUUCAUUAUUAAAGGAUUCCGGUAAAGGAUGGGGAUGCGUUCCAUUAGGUUGUUGGUGAGGUAACGGCUCACCAAGCCUUCGAUGGAUAGGGGUUCUGAGAGGAAGGUCCCCCACACUGGAACUGAGACACGGUCCAA
rnacentral:rRNA from 1 species